AUUGCUUUUCUGCCUUUUGGCUAAGAUCAAGUGUAGUAUCUGUUCUUAUCAGAAGAGGGGUCUCUGACUCUCCAGAUGGGGUUGAUUAUGAAGCUUCAUCCUCU
ensembl:snRNA U2 U2 spliceosomal RNA